GCAGUUGUCUAUUGGACAACAAUGUCCUGUCAAGCCGCCCAGAUGAUUUUUUCAUAAAAUGUCAAGCAUUUUAGAAGAAAAACUACGCGAGGCCUCCUGUUUGGGUGACACGGAAGCGGUUUUGGCCCUAUUAAGUCAGAACAUCAACGUAAACUCGAGCAAUAUCGUGAACGGCUGGACAGCUUUGCAUUGGGCUUGUAAAAGAAAUCACGAGGAUAUAGUACGUAUUUUACUCGAAAAUGGGGCUGAUAAGACUUUGCAAACGGUCAAAGGGGAAACACCCGCAUCGGUUUGCACUUCACAGAACAUUUUAGAUUUGUUAGGUGUUCCAUAUAAACCUGUUAAUAAUCAUAUGGAUGAAGAACUGGGUAUGAAAUUCACGCCAAAUUAUAUAAAAAAUCCUCCAAUUAAUGGUCAGGUUGAUAUUGGAAGGCUGAGGAGUAAACACACUGAUUUUUCUAACAUGCAGACCACUACACUUCCUGCUGCUCAAAAUGAUGAUUUGGUAUUGAAGGUGAAAGUUCAGGGUUCAAGUGAUCCAGAUUUUAUAGAAGUGGAAAUUCCCAGGUGGAAACUCACUUACAACACUUUGAUGAAGAUUUGCUGUGAAGAGUUGGAGAUUUUGGAAUGCCAGGUUGAAAGAAUUAGAAAGUUGCCAAAUACUAGAUUAAGAAAAGAUAGUGAUGUUAAAAGGUUGGUGGAUGGACAAGCUUUAGAGAUUGUUUUGAAGCCACCAACUGGAGAAAAAACGACAAAUUGCUAUCAAAGCAUAUCAACAUAUCCAAAAAAUGCUUAGAACACCACAAAAAUCCUGUUAUUAAAAUCAAGUUACCUGGUACAAAAUUGUUCUUAAAAUCAGAAGAAAACAGUGAUAUAAUUUACACAAAUGAACAUUUAAACCAUUUAAAACACGUGUUGGGUCAUUUAAGAGUUGAAAGAAGAUGCGGGAGGGCUCAGUCUGUUUGGAUGCAAGAAGAGAAACUGGUGAAGGUUACCAAAGUUGCUAAAAAUAUUGUUAAUUCAUUUGGAUUUCAAGAUAAAAAUGGAAUAUACUUGUAUCCAGAAGAGGCACUAUUUUUAAUGGAAACAAAUAAACUUGAGAUUCAAGUAAAUGAAAAUUCCUUAACAAUUCAAGAAAUGUAUGACUAUGUUUUAAAUUUACCUAACUGUGGUCUUAACAAAUAUUUGGUGUACAAAAAACUUGUUCUACAAGGAUAUAAAGUGAUGAAUAAAGAAGUAUAUGAAAGAAAAUUGAAAAGGAAACUAACAGCUGAAGAUUGUGCAAAUAAAAGAAAACUUGAUGUUGAAGAAAAAGUUGAUAAAAAACUUAAAAUUGAAGGAGAAACUUCCCAUCCCUAUUCAAGAUCAAAGGAAGAAAAGGUUACAAAUGUCAUUAAUGAAAUAUUCACCAAGUUGCAAAAGAAUGGCCCAAAAAUCUAUGAAGAUUUUAAUGAAAAUGAAGAUGUGGACUAUUUUGUGUUUUUGCCCAAAAAUGUUACAUUAAAAUACGAUUUUAGAGUGUUUGUCAGGUCUAAAUUGGAUUUUCAUGUUGAAUUUGGAACAAGUGAAAAAGACAUUUUUGGUGUUUGCUCUAAUGGAAGCGUAACUUUUUAUAAAAUAUCCAAAGUUUCUAUUCCUAAUUUAAGUUAAUAAACAAUUCAUGAGUAAAA